UAAGUUAUUAAGGGCGCACGGUGGAUGCCUUGGCACUAGAAGCCGAUGAAGGACGUUACUAACGACGAUAUGCUUUGGGGAGCUGUAAGUAAGCUUUGAUCCAGAGAUUUCCGAAUGGGGAAACCCAGCAUGAGUUAUGUCAUGUUAUCGAUAUGUGAAUACAUAGCAUAUCAGAAGGCACACCCGGAGAACUGAAACAUCUUAGUACCCGGAGGAAGAGAAAGAAAAUUCGAUUCCCUUAGUAGCGGCGAGCGAAACGGGAAGAGCCCAAACCAACAAGCUUGCUUGUUGGGGUUGUAGGACACUCUAUACGGAGUUACAAAGGACGACAUUAGACGAAUCAUCUGGAAAGAUGAAUCAAAGAAGGUAAUAAUCCUGUAGUCGAAAAUGUUGUCUCUCUUGAGUGGAUCCUGAGUACGACGGAGCACGUGAAAUUCCGUCGGAAUCUGGGAGGACCAUCUCCUAAGGCUAAAUACUCUCUAGUGACCGAUAGUGAACCAGUACCGUGAGGGAAAGGUGAAAAGCACCCCGGAAGGGGAGUGAAAUAGAACCUGAAACCGUGUGCUUACAAGUAGUCAGAGCCCGUUAAUGGGUGAUGGCGUGCCUUUUGUAGAAUGAACCGGCGAGUUACGAUUUGAUGCAAGGUUAAGCAGUAAAUGUGGAGCCGUUGCGAAAGCGAGUCUGAAUAGGGCGUUUAGUAUUUGGUCGUAGACCCGAAACCAGGUGAUCUACCCUUGGUCAGGUUGAAGUUCAGGUAACACUGAAUGGAGGACCGAACCGACUUACGUUGAAAAGUGAGCGGAUGAACUGAGGGUAGCGGAGAAAUUCCAAUCGAACCUGGAGAUAGCUGGUUCUCUCCGAAAUAGCUUUAGGGCUAGCCUCAAGUGAUGAUUAUUGGAGGUAGAGCACUGUUUGGACGAGGGGCCCCUCUCGGGUUACCGAAUUCAGACAAACUCCGAAUGCCAAUUAAUUUAACUUGGGAGUCAGAACAUGGGUGAUAAGGUCCAUGUUCGAAAGGGAAACAGCCCAGACCACCAGCUAAGGUCCCAAAAUAUAUGUUAAGUGGAAAAGGAUGUGGCGUUGCCCAGAUAACUAGGAUGUUGGCUUAGAAGCAGCCAUCAUUUAAAGAGUGCGUAAUAGCUCACUAGUCGAGUGACACUGCGCCGAAAAUGUACCGGGGCUAAACAUAUUACCGAAGCUGUGGAUUGUCCUUUGGACAAUGGUAGGAGAGCGUUCUAAGGGCGUUGAAGCAUGAUCGUAAGGACAUGUGGAGCGCUUAGAAGUGAGAAUGCCGGUGUGAGUAGCGAAAGACGGGUGAGAAUCCCGUCCACCGAUUGACUAAGGUUUCCAGAGGAAGGCUCGUCCGCUCUGGGUUAGUCGGGUCCUAAGCUGAGGCCGACAGGCGUAGGCGAUGGAUAACAGGUUGAUAUUCCUGUACCACCUAUAAUCGUUUUAAUCGAUGGGGGGACGCAGUAGGAUAGGCGAAGCGUGCGAUUGGAUUGCACGUCUAAGCAGUAAGGCUGAGUAUUAGGCAAAUCCGGUACUCGUUAAGGCUGAGCUGUGAUGGGGAGAAGACAUUGUGUCUUCGAGUCGUUGAUUUCACACUGCCGAGAAAAGCCUCUAGAUAGAAAAUAGGUGCCCGUACCGCAAACCGACACAGGUAGUCAAGAUGAGAAUUCUAAGGUGAGCGAGCGAACUCUCGUUAAGGAACUCGGCAAAAUGACCCCGUAACUUCGGGAGAAGGGGUGCUCUUUAGGGUUAACGCCCAGAAGAGCCGCAGUGAAUAGGCCCAAGCGACUGUUUAUCAAAAACACAGGUCUCUGCUAAACCGUAAGGUGAUGUAUAGGGGCUGACGCCUGCCCGGUGCUGGAAGGUUAAGAGGAGUGGUUAGCUUCUGCGAAGCUACGAAUCGAAGCCCCAGUAAACGGCGGCCGUAACUAUAACGGUCCUAAGGUAGCGAAAUUCCUUGUCGGGUAAGUUCCGACCCGCACGAAAGGCGUAACGAUUUGGGCACUGUCUCAACGAGAGACUCGGUGAAAUCAUAGUACCUGUGAAGAUGCAGGUUACCCGCGACAGGACGGAAAGACCCCGUGGAGCUUUACUGUAGCUUGAUAUUGAAAUUCGGCACAGCUUGUACAGGAUAGGUAGGAGCCUUUGAAACGUGAGCGCUAGCUUACGUGGAGGCGCUGGUGGGAUACUACCCUAGCUGUGUUGGCUUUCUAACCCGCACCACUUAUCGUGGUGGGAGACAGUGUCAGGCGGGCAGUUUGACUGGGGCGGUCGCCUCCUAAAAGGUAACGGAGGCGCUCAAAGGUUUCCUCAGAAUGGUUGGAAAUCAUUCAUAGAGUGUAAAGGCAUAAGGGAGCUUGACUGCGAGACCUACAAGUCGAGCAGGGUCGAAAGACGGACUUAGUGAUCCGGUGGUUCCGCAUGGAAGGGCCAUCGCUCAACGGAUAAAAGCUACCCCGGGGAUAACAGGCUUAUCUCCCCCAAGAGUUCACAUCGACGGGGAGGUUUGGCACCUCGAUGUCGGCUCAUCGCAUCCUGGGGCUGUAGUCGGUCCCAAGGGUUGGGCUGUUCGCCCAUUAAAGCGGUACGCGAGCUGGGUUCAGAACGUCGUGAGACAGUUCGGUCCCUAUCCGUCGUGGGCGUAGGAAAUUUGAGAGGAGCUGUCCUUAGUACGAGAGGACCGGGAUGGACAUACCUCUGGUGUACCAGUUGUCGUGCCAACGGCAUAGCUGGGUAGCUAUGUGUGGACGGGAUAAGUGCUGAAAGCAUCUAAGCAUGAAGCCCCCCUCAAGAUGAGAUUUCCCAACUUCGGUUAUAAGAUCCCUCAAAGAUGAUGAGGUUAAUAGGUUCGAGGUGGAAGCAUGGUGACAUGUGGAGCUGACGAAUACUAAUCGAUCGAAGACUUAAUCA
rnacentral:rRNA from 1 species